rnacentral:rRNA from 1 species
GCGGCAUGGAUUAGGCAUGCAAGUCGAGCGCGAAGUUCCCUUCGGGGAGCGGAAAGCGGCGAAAGGGAGAGUAACGCGUAGAUAUCUGCCCUCAGGUCUGGGAUAGCCAUCGGAAACGGUGAUUAAUACCAGAUAAUGUCUCAGGACCAAAGAUUUAUUGCCUGAGGAGGAGUCUGCGUCCUACUAGCUAGUUGGUGUGGUAAUGGCGCACCAAGGCGAAGAUGGGUAGCGGGCGUGAGAGCGUGGCCCGUCUCACUGGGACUGAGAUACUGCCCAGACAUCUACGGAUGGCUGCAGUCGAGAAUCUUCGGCAAUGGACGAAAGUCUGACCGAGCGACGCCGCGUGCGGGAUGAAGGCCUUCGGGUUGUAAACCGCUGUCAGUUGGGAGGAAAUAUUAGGGGGUACUCCCCUUAAUUUGACCGAUCUUCAGAGGAAGGACGGGCUAAGUUCGUGCCAGCAGCCGCGGUAAGACGAACCGUCCAAACGUUAUUCGGUAUCACUGGGCUUAAAGCGUGCGUAGGCGGCCUGGUAGGUGAGAUGUGAAAGCCCACGGCUCAACCGUGGAAUUGCGUUUCAAACCACCAGGCUUGAGGAUGGCAGGGGUGAAAGUUUGCCGCUUAACGGUAGAAUUGCCAUUGAUACUGUUUGGCUUGAAUCAGGAUGAGGAUAGCGGAAUGAGACAUGUAGCGGUGAAAUGCAUAGAUAUGUCUUAGAACACCGAUUGCGAAGGCAGCUGUCUAGACCUCGAUUGACGCUGAGGCAC